rnacentral:rRNA from 1 species
UACAGAGGUCUCAAGCGUUGUUCGGAUUCAUUGGGCGUAAAGGGUGCGUAGGUGGCGCCAUAAGGUCAGGUGUGAAAUCUCGGGGCUUAACUCCGAAACUGCAUUUGAUACUGUGGUGCUUGAGGACUGGAGAGGAGACUGGAAUUACGGUGUAGCAGUGAAAUGCGUAGAUAUCGUGAGGAAGACCAGUGGCGAAGGCGGGUCUCUGGACAGUUCCUGACACUGAGGCACGAAGGCCAGGGGAGCAAACGGG